AUACGGAGGAUGCAAGCGUUAUCCGGAUUUAUUGGGUUUAAAGGGUGCGUAGGCGGAUGAUUAAGCGUGAGGUGAAAUGCCACUGCUCAACAGUGGAACUGCCUCGCGAACUGGUUGUCUUGAAUGCUCCUGCCGUGGGAGGAAUGUGUGGUGUAGCGGUGAAAUGCAUAGAGAUCACACAGAAUACCGAUUGCGAAGGCAUCUCACGAAGGGGUGAUUGACGCUGAGGCACGAAAGCGUGGGGAUCAAACAGGAUUAGAUACCCUGGUAGUCCACGCAGUAAACGAUGAUAACUAACCGCUGGGUCGUAGUGAUUCAGUGGCCAAGCGAAAGCGAUAAGUUAUCCACCUGGGGAGUACGACCGCAAGGUUGAAACUCAAAGGAAUUGACGGGG
rnacentral:rRNA from 1 species